AUUGAACGCUGGCGGCAGGCUUAACACAUGCAAGUCGAGCGAGCGGCGGACGGGUGAGUAAUGUCUGGGAAACUGCCCGAUGGCGGGGGAUAACUACUGGAAAGGGUAGCUAAUACCGCAUACCAUCAGAUGGGCCCAUAUGGGAUUAGCUAGUAGGUGGGGUAAUGGCUCACCUAGGCAACGAUCCCUUGCUGGUCUGAGAGGAUGACCAGCCACACUGGAACUGAGACACGGUCCAGACUCCUACGGGAGGCAGCAGUGGGGAAUAUUGCACAAUGGGCGAAAGCCUGAUGCAGCCAUGCCGCGUGUGUGAAGAAGGCCUUCGGGUUGUAAAGCACUUUCAGCGAGGAGGCGUUACUCGCAGAAGAAGCACCGGCUAACUCCGUGCCAGCAGCCGCGGUAAUUC
rnacentral:rRNA from 1 species